ACUCCUACGGGAGGCAGCAGUGGGGAAUUUUCCGCAAUGGGCGAAAGCCUGACGGAGCAAUACCGCGUGAGGGAUGAAAGCCUGUGGGUUGUAAACCUCUUUUCUCAAGGAAGAAAUUUUGACGGUACUUGAGGAAUAAGCAUCGGCUAACUCUGUGCCAGCAGCCGCGGUAAUAC
rnacentral:rRNA from 1 species